AACGCGAAGAACCUUACCAGCCCUUGACAUGUCCCGUAUGGGUGGGGGAGACCCCAUUCUUCAGUUCGGCUGGCGGGAACACAGGUGCUGCAUGGCUGUCGUCAGCUCGUGUCGUGAGAUGUUGGGUUAAGUCCCGCAACGAGCGCAACCCCCGUCCUUAGUUGCUACCAUUUAGUUGAGCACUCUAAGGAGACUGCCGGUGAUAAGCCGCGAGGAAGGUGGGGAUGACGUCAAGUCCUCAUGGCCCUUACGGGCUGGGCUACACACGUGCUACAAUGGCGGUGACAAUGGGACGCUAAGGGGCAACCCUUCGCAAAUCUCAAAAAGCCGUCUCAGUUCGGAUUGGGCUCUGCAACUCGAGCCCAUGAAGUUGGAAUCGCUAGUAAUCGUGGAUCAGCACGCCACGGUGAAUACGUUCCCGGGCCUUGUACAACCGCGCAUA
rnacentral:rRNA from 1 species